CGCCGCCGCAGCGCUGCCGCAGCAUCGCCGGUCCCGGGAGAUGGGGUCCCCGGCCCCCGCCGGCCCCGGCCAGCCCGCCGGAAGCCCCCGCCGUACUUUCCAUAUUAGGAAACAACCUUAUAAGUCUCGAUUCCGGCGGAGGCUUCCCGCUCCUUAUAUGGCGAUUCCGGCCCCGGGUUGCGGGGGGCGCGCAGAGCCAGGCUGCAGCCGGGCGCGCGCGCGCCCGCCCCCCCCCAGGCAGCAGGAGCGCGCGGAAGCCCUGGGCCGUGGAAGAGCGGAGCUGCUGCUCGGGCAGGUGGCACAGGAGCCUCGGGGAGCGCCCGGCAGACCCCGGGGUCGCCGCCGUGUUUUUGCGGGCAGAGCUCCCCCUCGACCCCACCCCGUUUGCUCAGCUCGCACUACUCGCCUCCCCUCCGUCUCCGCGGAGGAGCCAAGCGCCGGCAGCUCACGGUCAGCGGCGCCGCGCCCUCGGCAGCCUCGAUGUGGAGGAGUUUUCUGGGUGCUGGCAGCGUGCCCAAGGCAGGAGCUGCCCGCUCCCGGAAAUGGGGAAUCUCCGGGAUUCCAGCGGCCUGCCGGGAUCGCCCUGCUCCGCACGCUCCCGACGAGAGCGGCGGAGGUAUGUCCGUAGCGCCAGACCGGGGCAGACCCCGGCUCCGUGCGCGUCCUUGACGUAGCGAAAAACGGGGCGCUGAUAAACAGAGAGCCCCAGGUACUACAUGGCCGCAGCCACCACUGACUUCAGCGCGAUGAAAAGUGACAGCGCUCGGGACUCUGCUCUCGCGCCCUUAGGAUUGUCCCUUGACACAGCUACAGCUCUUUCCUGCCCUCCCCGCAAGCGAUGGCUGCGCCCUACACCGGCUCCGCAUAGAGCCCUCGGCCUUCUGCUCGGCGCAACACCACGCCGAGGAGCCGCGAAAGAACACUCCCCAGGCCGGGGGAGCCUCUCGUGCUAUAAGUAGUCGCUCGACGCGGCCGCCGCCCCGCCCCGCCCGGGCAGCCCCGCUGCCGGCGCGCGGGGCUUCCCUGGCACCGGGCCAGACGGCACCGGCGACGCAGUGCGGCCGCAGUGCGCGUGCGCGGUCAUCGCGGCGAGGGCUUCUCCGCACUGUGCGGGGCUUCGGGGGCGGGAGCGGAGCUGUCGCCUGCAGCCCAGUGUUUCGGUGGGCCCGAUGCCGGUGACCGGGCGUGAAGCUCCGCGGCGCACGGUCGCCCCAUGGUCGGGUGCGGCGCGGGACUUGCCGGGGGGCCGGCUCGCCGCCGUCUGCCGCAGUUCUGCCGCGGACGGCGCUCCCUCUGCCGCAGAGACGGAGUAUAACGGCAGGCGACUUGGCUCCUCUUCAGGUCUGGCCCCGCUCGGUCGGGGUACCGCCCGCCUCCGGGCAAGUUCCGCAGCGCCGCUCGCGGUCGGUUGCAGAGCAGGCUCUUCCCCGCGGAAAUCCUGGCGCCGAGCCGGGCCACGUACCGCUUUAUGCCAGGCAGCCUUUUUUUGCCGUAGGAAGGCAGCUGUAUAAACCACUAAGGCUCUUACCGCCUUUGUGAUUUGUGUUCCAGUUGCGAAUAUAACGGCAGGGCUCUGUCUGCCCACUUUUAUAGGCUAUUUAGACUUGUGCCGUGUGUACGGCUUUUAACUGAGCUGCUAUAUUUAGGACCGUGCCUUGUCAGUAACACCAUGCAGUACCUCCCACACUGAUGCACUUCCACCUUGAAAUCAGUGAUGGGCUGUAGCAACACAAUGCCUCCAGGAAAAACGUGGAAAGCUUCUGCUUAUUUGCAGCUCCUAUUACCCAACGGCAGCUAAUACACAUCUGUUCUUUGGUACUUACUCUUUAUGGAGAGAAAUCGUACUAGUUUUCAGUGCACCAGGCCAAACCUUUCUUUUGAAAAUGUGAUUCGGAGCUUUUCCUUUUUUAACAGAUACCUGCUGCAGGUUUUGUGAUGUCCCAUACAUAAUGAUUACAACUAGUCUGAUUUUCAUCAGCAUGUCACAGUUUGGAGCUCUGUUAGAAAGGGAUGAGUACCAGAGCUUGACUUUUUCUACAAACACUGUAGUUUGUUUUGGCUUCUGAACAUCUUACUGACAUUGCAUCUUCCUUGCCCUCUUUUUUUAUUCUAUUCCUUUUCAAGAUCAGAAAGAAGUGCCUGAUUCACAGAGAAUUUCAUUCAUACACUCUGUAUGUUAGGCCCAAUAUUCCUUUACAGAUACUGAAAUGCAUAAUUCAGACAAAUUUGGGGUUUUUUCAAAAUCUAGAAUCACAGAUGGAAAAAUCUAUUCCUAGUUUUCUUUUCAACUACCUUCAUUUUUAUCAAUGUAAUUCUAAUUUAUCAAUUCAUAUAAGAGAAAACAAGAGACCUGCUUUAGAGUUGCAGACGGAGCAGCGUAACUAGCUUGAACUGUACAUAAGUUAUAGUAAUAAAGACUAUUUUGCAACAUUGCACCAUUCCGGUGAGGCUUGCUGGCUUCAGGGAAGUACGGGAGAGGCUGUGGAUGACUUACAGCCUGUGCGCUGAGCUAGGAAAUUGCCUGUUGUUAUGAGUUUUCCGAACUCCUCUUCUGUGUUCUAUUUUCUUUUUCUGAAUACAACAUUAGGUAUGUAGGGAUUAUAUUGAAGGUAUUGUAUUUUCACUACUGAGAUCCAAGAUCUGCUCAGUUCACCUAGCCAGACAUUUGGGUUUUUUUCUAGGUAGUACGAUUUGAAUGUCCAAAGAAUUUGCUACAAAGAAUAGACCAGUAUUUGAAUUGUCUUUCCAAAAUGGCAGUAUUUUAAUACAUUUAACACUUCCCUUUAUGCUCCUAGUGAAAGCACAGAAAAUGUAAGACACUGCCAUUGGAUCAGUCACAAUUUUAUUUGAAAAUUUAACAGCUUUGAUUGUGAUUGUCUAAUGAAUAAACAUGCGUGAUACACUGGGUCUCCUUAAAAGUCCGUCAUUAUCAAAUGUAUUUGUUGUCUCUCAAUACAUUUCAGUGAGAGGAAUCCUGUUCCAAAGACACAGAGCACAGAAUGCUAUGGGGUCUGGGAACGAGAAGAGAGAAUGGGGUACUAAGCUCCAAAGUAAAAAAUUACCUGAGAUGAAUCCUUGUUUUUGUUUUGCUUGCUUUCUUAGUAGAGGCUGGUACAAACUAUUUUAUAGUCAGCCUCAGCAUAACUUUCAAUGUUUAAUUUUUCACCGUGUUUUCAUUCAUACUAAUCUGUUGUGCUAUUGUGCCAAUAAAAGAAUCACUGUGCCUUUAUGAACUAUGUUUUCACACGAUUACAGCUUUAUCUCUCAGUUACUUUUUGUUAACUGCUGCUUUCACGAUGAGCUUACUUCCAGGUCUUUCCAACUUGUACUGUGACUAAAAGUAAAAACAUCACUGUUACUGUUGGCACUGAAUUAACUAAGUUCAACUCUGAAAGCAAGAAAAGUUAGCCAACUUUGUCUUUGUAACUUGCCUGGAGUUCUAACAUUAAUUUUGUUUCAAUUAGAUGCACUUUUCACUUUAUCCACAAACAUAGUUUCCUUGUGUCUGGAAUGUCCAUAGGGAUUUUAUUUCUCCAUAGGACUAUAAACAACUUUCAUAGAUAUUACAGUUACUUUCUGAACUAAUGCAGUAGUUUCUUUGUAGUUUGACUUAGUGAGGAAAAAACAGUAAAGUACAAAAAACCCAAACAAACAAACAAACAAAACCAACAACUGUCGCUGUUAUCCCCAGUAACGGCGAAAUCACGACAUAGGCAGGUCAGAUGAUAUGGCCAAAGCAGAGCUAAGACCUCAUUUAAUGAAUUUCUCCUCUUUUAUAGUGUAGUUCGCAAUAAAGAAAUUACAUGAUUGGCUUAUUCACUCACCACCUCUCAAGGUGAUAGGCUGAGCAGUAAGACACCCAUUUCCAAAUAUUAUUCUCACAAGACUGUAAACAAUUCUAGUGUUCUGACAACAAUAGCAGGUGUAGAAAUAGUUUACAUUCUUACAAACUGUUAUCCAUCCAGUCCUCAUGAGAACGAAAGCUCUCACAGAGAAGCUGUGAGAAGCUGGAUUUCUCUGUUUCUCAGCUAAAGCAUGAGAAAGGAAAAACUUCACAAACUACAGAGCUGGAAAAUUUCUCUGCUCCUGCCUUUUAGCAUCCACAAACAACAACAAAAAAACCCCACAAAACUACAUGGAUUUCAAAGCCAGGUUGGACAGACUCUUAGGAUUCUAUAAUCAGACACUACGUAUACCAGUGGCCAGAGAUCUUUAUCAAGGACUUGCAUCAGAUAAGUAAACUUUAUUGUGCAGCUCAUAUUCGUGUAUAAAGAUUAACUGAAUGCAAUGUCAGGGAUGUAAAAUCAAGAGAAUGAGAAAUGAAGGAAGAGCUUUGGUGCCAUUUCUUGGGAUUUGUUUUCUGUGUCAGGGUAGGACAACUAACACCAAGGCAUGUGACAAUUAAAUUCCUCAUAAGCUUUAAUGGAAGAGGAGUCUGAUUUUCAGGAAGACUGAUAGACUGAUGGAUAGGAAGUUCUGCUUUGAAUCUGAGCCCUUUUAAAUUAGCUCAGUUAGAUGGAUGGUGUAGGCUUCUGCACCCCAGCACUUCAUCAUUAACAGCUACUGCCUAGAUGAAACUGUAGCCUCUGAUGUAGGCCUUGAAUUCUGUAGGGGAAGUUGAACUGGUGCUAGUGACAGAAAGAAGAAUGUUUUCAAAGAGCAAUUUACUUGUAUGUUCCUAGCACAGUACAGGGAACACAUACUGCAAGUAGUGUUACAUAACCCAACCUUGAGAACAAGCACAACAACUCUGAGAGCACAGAGAGUGCUACAAGUUGUGUUUAUUUACAAGAUAUCACAAAACCACAGAGGCAAACCAGCCUGACAACAAAAGGUUUGGGAGUUAGACAGCAAAAAAACCAGAAAAUUCAUCAUGGAAAUACCUAUGAACUCUUAACUAUACUGCCUUUCUGCUUAACCUGAAAUAUAUAUGCAGCGUACUCUCCCUCUUGUAUGAUAGCUCACAAAGAAACAAAACCAAAGUGCUUGCUGUGUACUCAAUAUGUUAUAGCAAGGAUAGUAGUUUAUUGUCUUGAAAGUUUGUCUUCCAGUUCUCAAACCCCAUGAAUUUGGUUUUUUCCCACUCCUGCUGCAGCACUGGAUAGAAAGUAACACAAUACAAGACUGUGUUAUUACAGCAAUCUAUCUCACAUUCUCUCCAGCCUGUAACAAGAAUUCAGAAGAUUGAAGUUCCGUUCUUAGAUGUCAUUUUCCAGUAACCAAGUCAGAGUACAUCCUUCUGCAGAGGCAACUGGCUUCCCGCUCACAACAGCAAUGCCCUCAGCACGUGCACUUGCAUUUGAAAAUGACCACUUGCUUGUAAUUUUACGCAGGUAUCUUUUCUUUUACGUUAUUCAGCUUCCUAUCUUGUGCUAGCAUGUGUUCAAGUGUGUAGGUGUAAUCAUACACACACAUACAUACACCACAGCAUAUAUAUAUAUGUUUUUUUUUUUAAUUGACAAACCAUAGUCAAAGGAUAUGAACAAUUCAAAGACAGAUCUUUACCUACUCAGACUGUGGCAGCAAAGGGCAGCAGCCAACUGCAGGACACCAUGCAGUGACUGCAACAAUCACAGUCACUUUGCAAAUAUACUAGGUGUUCCGUUAGAGGAGGAAAUUCGGAAGAAAACAACCCCCCUUGCACUGCCAUUAGUCCUCAGAUAUCAGAUGGACUGGGUACAGCUAGGCUAACUUCUGAGCUUUCUGAUUAAUUUCUGAGCUUUGUCUUUCAGCAUUUCUCCACAGCAGCCCAAGGCUCCUCUUUUCUGUGGAGAGGAAGUGACAUGGCACUUGGUAAGCAAACACGUUUCUUCCGUCUCUGCCAUCUCUUCUCCCUUUGAAGGAAAACAAGGCAGAUUUGCCCAGAACGUUACCGAGACCAGUCCCUGGGAUACUUGAUACACCUGAACUGAACACUCCAAGGAGCAAGCUAACAACUCUGAAGUGUGGACAGCCAGUGAGCUGUGCCAAGUGCAUGACUCAGCUAAAAAUGGACUGUACUCAAGUACUAUGUCUUUUCUGUAAUAUCUAAAAAAUUAAGAAAAAGAAUAAAUUUUUAAUCCAUUUAAAGAUCAUGGAUGCAUUUCCUAAGAGAUCAAGUUGGUCACUUAGAGAAUAAACUCUUUAAAUUCCAAAAAAUAGCAAUUUUUUCCUAAUAUUUGGCUCUUCCCAAAACAAAUUAUGGCUUUUGUUUUGACACGUUUGCCGAUGGAGCUGGCCAGGAUCUAUAAAUAUCAUUUUAAAUAAGUCAGUGUAAGAGGUUAAUGGAAGUUUAAAUUACAAUCAGCAAGAAUAUGUUUUAGGGAUUUCUUGAGGAGGAGAUCAGAUCAGAGCAGGUAUUGAAGACAUUCCUAGUUAUAAUGCCUUUCUUCAUGGAUGUUAUCAGUGUUCAUUCUGUAUUUGGUGGACUACUACAUGGUGUAAAUAAGGUGGUGAACUUCCUCAAAUUUGUAUCCCACGGCAAAUAAAAAUACAGUGCUAGGUGUUACUUUGAAUCAAAAGGGACUCAAAAAUGCACAUAACUGUAAAUAUCUUUCUUCCUCUCACUUAUCUUACAUGUUUUUAAUGCGAGUACACCAUCUAUCAAUAUGUCUGGCAGUGAGCUUCUGAGUAAUAACUAUAAUUUGGGGUUUCCAUAUUGUAUUUCUAAUUGGACACUUUUUUCUUCCAGAUUUCUUUCAUGAGUGCUAAUAUACACAUAGCUGCAAUCACCUGGGUGAACAGCUAUGUUGAAACCACCUACAGCCCUGCACUAAAAAAGGUUGAUCAACGUUGUCAAGGUGACAAAAAUUCCAAAAUAAAGCACAAGUCUUGCUUCAAAGAAAAUCUGAAGGCAAAAUUUACUUCAGAGUAUUGAAAGAUAAACCAAUGCUUAAGUACACAGUAAGCUAAAAUUCACAAUCUUCCGAUAGGACAAGUCUCAUAGUAGUUAGAAUAAUGGCAGACUUACAGGGUUUUCUUCGUCUUGAUUGUAAAAGCUGAGGAAAGAAGUGUGAUUGUAAUAACACACGAACACAUCGCUAGAAGCAAGGUUCCCCUCCUACGCCAUGACUGAAAUAGCCCAAAUCUGGACUGUAUCCUUAUCUUGAUUUUGGGUUUUCUUAAAUUGUUCUAUUAUCGAAUGCUAAGAAUUUUUAUUGGAAGCUGAACAAGAACUCUAAAAUCAGCAUGACUGAAAAUUCAUUGCUGCUUCCUCAUUAAUAUGCCAGAAGGACUGUCUGACAUUUCUAUGGAAUGUCUGUGCUCUUGGGACUGAUGAUUCAGCGCAGAACUGCUUGGAAUUUCUACAAAAGUUCAGCCCUCCUCCCUUCUCAAAUGACUUCAUUUUACCAACCUGUCAAGCAAAACUAAAAAUAAUGGGUUUGUGUGCAAUUACAAGGGGAAGGAUGGAAAUUUCACUGCACAAUGUAUUAGGUAACUCAUUAGAAAGCAGAAGCUGCAUUUUCAAAAGCAGCAUGAAAUAUAUCUCCCAUGUUUGAUUAUUUUUUUCUGCAGUUAGGAAAAGAAACUAUGCUAAAAUUUUAAGGUGCAUAGUAAUGCUCAAGCUAAAGGAAUAUGCAAGUAAGAUUUCUGUGCGAUCAAGUUGAUGAAAUUUGUUCGUUGCUUCAGUUUCAUGAAAGAUAAGGAAAAAACUGUUUAGGGCUAGCAACUCACAAAUUCCGUGGUAAUUUCCACUGAAGCCUGCUAGCCCAGGAGAAGAAGAGGCUCAGCCUCAAGAGUUGCCAAUGAUUCUAAUAAACAGGCAAACUCAAAAUCCAAACCCAGGGCAGCUCAUUAACUGCUCCUGUAAUCAUUCUGCCCAGGUCAACUGCUGUUGGAUCAAGUGGGGAUAUGAAAUGUCACAGACAUAUAAAAAGAGGAAAAUGACCACAUAAUUUUUGCAUAUGCCCAGAAGUAUAGGCAAACACUUUCUAUUUAUUAUAUGAACAUUUUGACUUUCAACUGCUGUGUUUAGGAAUGACCAAUCUGAGCUGGCUGAAACUAGAAGAAAAUCUGCUUCCUUCAUGAGGACAUCCACAGAGAUGGAAAGCUGGCAGUAGGGGUUGGGACUACUAAGGGUCUUUAAGGGUCCUUUCAACUCAAUCCAAGGUAUGAUUCUUUGAUUCACAGCAUUGGCAGGAAAAACUGACAGCAAAGGGGUAAAAAGAGAAAGGCUCCACCUACACAAGAGUCUACUUUGGGGAGGGAAAAAAAAAAGCUAGGCUGAAUUUCAAAUUCAAAAAGGAUUUCAACUCAAUUCAAACAGACUCAGUCCAUGACUACUGUUGUGAAGUUCCAGCUAGAGGCCACAGUUCAUCAGCUUCAGACUUAUGUUAUCCAAAACACUAAAACCCUGCUAGCUGACUUCCUCUCUUAUCCCAGCCACUACAACUGCUAGCUCUCAGCUACCCACUUUACCCACUAGCUGGGUCUAUGGAGGGCCAGCUGUUGGUGAUGGCUACAGAAAAUUCUUCUCACAGCCCAUUUUUAACUUGUAAUUUCACACACCCUCCACCUGUUGUCUGUACCACAGGUUUCCCAGCUGAGUUCUUGCUACCUGCCCUGCAAGACAAUAAGUUAUUUUUUGACCACUCUAAUAUUUCAUGCCUAGGUAUAAUAGCUAUGUAGUACCGACUAAACAUUUAUGCUUCUGCACAUGGACCCAGAAACAGAUAUUCACCAUUCUCUAGCUUUGCACAUAUGAAUGUUUUCCAACCUCCAUCCUCCCCAAAAGUUAUUUGCAAUUACAAUUCAGGCAGGUCUCCCAAAUGCUUAACAGCAACAGUAUUUUAUUCUGCAGAAACAAAAAGGCCACCCAACAAAUACACUUGUGAUAUGAAUCCAAGUCCUCAGUUAACAGCUGGGAAGUGGACACAACCUGACAGGCAACAUUUAAGUGAGGAAACAAUGCCAGGAGAAACCAGAUUCUCAAAAUUUGCCUUAUUUUUACAUAGCAGAAAUAGCAGGACUCUGUAUUCAUUUUCGUAUCUUUAUUCAUUCAACAAUGGAGAAGGGGAAAGGCAGAAGACUAAAUACAUAAGACAUGAAGAUAAACUAAAAUUAUUUAGGAGCACAAUUUGAGAAGAUAACAAAACAGCAUUUAAAAAAUAAUAUUCACAGGCAUCAGUAGCAAGAAACUGGAGCAUGAGGUGGGAGAAAGGUAUGUAAACUCAACAGCAAAGAACAAAAAGCCAUACCUGCAAGUCAUAAAUCUAUAAGCCUAUUCUAAUGACACAUGUAGAUUUAAAUUCAAAUUAUCAGAGACACUUAUCUGUCAAAAUAAAGUGGAAAUAGAAAGUGAAUAAAUAACCUCCAGAACCUUUCUGCCCCACUGUCUUGGGGUGACACCCACCCACAUCAAUAACUCAACCUUAUCACAACAACUUUUUCUUUAGAGGUGCCAUCAUAUACUUGUGAUCAGUUGUGCUUGGAGCACCACUUACCAGAGAGACACGCAUGAGACAGUAGCAAGAAGCAGUGUUCAAAAUUUAGUCCUUAGAUGAUGCCUUUUUGGUCUCAUCAUCAAUCUUCAGCAAGUUGACACAGCCUGAAUAUAAUGAGCUUUUCCAAAUGCUUUUUAACCCCAAUAGAAGGGCUGUCUUUCCGUGUUUAUGACCCUGAUGCCUCAGAAGGGAACUUUUCCAGGAAAGCUACUUCUAGUGGAAAUGUCAAAAUAAUUGAGAAGAGAAAUAAGGAUUAGUUGCCACCCUAUGGAAUGAGAGCACAUCUGCAUUGAUAAAACCAUUUAUAUUAUACUCUGGGUAGAAAUGGAAGAUAAGCAAUGGGCCCUUUAAAAUAGGUUCUUCAAAAAAGAGAAUGUUAAAAGACACCUAGGAAGAGUCCAGGUAUUAAAGCAAGCACAACACAAGAUUUAAGUUUUGUGCAUUCAAGUCAUUAUACUACAGCAAGUAACCAAACCUAAUGACUACAAAAAAUUAGUGACAGAAUCCAAACAACUCUCCCUCCCAGGAAAACUCCAUUAACCCAGUCAUUUAACACCACCGUGCUUCAGCACACGGGUAAAAAGGUGACAGUGUCAUGACAAGGCAUUUUCCAAUGUGUGUUUAAUUCCAGACUGCCCUCUGGUCAUCAAAUAGACUGAGCAGUACCAGAGACAGGAGACUGCACUAGCUGAACGUACUCCCCGUUUGGGUUGGCCUUUUCUCUGCUUUCCCUUUUCGGAGGUAAUAGCCUUCCUGCACUAUAAUGGCUCCAUGCAUCAGUUACUGCAUUCUUGUGGUAAAUAGAGAAUAGUCACAACAGGUGGCUUUUACAAAGAUGAAGCUGUUAAAUGCUGCUUAAUUCUACUUAAUUCAAUAUAUUCAUUGCCCCAAAUAAGCAAGUGAUAGCAGCAAUGUUAUAAUUUCCAUUCAGUUUCUAGAUUCCCCAACAGAGCCUAGGAAAAACAAAAAGCUUGGAAAAAUCUGUGGCUUGGCUUUGGCAAAACUUAUAUCCACAUACUUCCUAUAAAACCAACAUUGAGUGUUGACAGCAAAGAGCCUUUACAUUAUCUCUAUACUGGCAGAGAUAAAUACACUAAAUACAAGGCUUAGCCACAAAAGCACAUUCCUGCCUCCCUCAGUAAUAAGUUAAUUUCUUAUAACUCUUUAAAUCAUUACUAAAUAUUUCAUACAACGCAGUACACGCUCUUGGGAUGGGGCAUGUCAGGGCAAUCCACAACUCAUUCUUGAAAUUUAGCACCUGCCCAAAAGCACUGCGUUGGUUUACCUAAUUCUGAUCAUAUGAUGGAAAAAUAGAAACAUAUUGAAUAUAUUUUAUUCUUCUUGGUUUUUUCCCCCCCGCAGUCUGACACUGAAGAAUCCCCAGGACUAUUCUAGAUUCUAUUCCUCUUUCCUACAGAAACCUCCUGGUAUGUCCUGGAUCCUCCUGCAGUCUGCAAGUCUCCAUCUCUGCUGUUGCAAAUAAAAGAUUUUCUCAACAUUGG